rnacentral:rRNA from 1 species
UUUAUCGGAGAGUUUGAUCCUGGCUCAGGACGAACGCUGGCGGCGUGCCUAAUACAUGCAAGUCGAGCGGGCAGAUG